CGCGCAGGCGGUGAUGUAAGUCUGAGGUGAAAACCCGAAGCUCAACUUCGGGACUGCCUUGGAUACUGCGUCACUUGAGGAUAGGAGAGGCAAGGGGAAUUCCACGUGUAGCGGUGAAAUGCGUAGAGAUGUGGAGGAACACCUGUGGCGAAGGCGCCUUGCUGGCCUAUUUCUGACGCUGAGGCGCGAAGCGUGGGGAGCAAACA
rnacentral:rRNA from 1 species